UGGGGAAUUUUGGACAAUGGGCGCAAGCCUGAUCCAGCCAUGCCGCGUGCGGGAAGAAGGCCUUCGGGUUGUAAACCGCUUUUGUCAGGGAAGAAAUCUUCUGAGUUAAUACCUCGGGAGGAUGACGGUACCUGAAGAAUAAGCACCGGCUAACUACGUGCCAGCAGCCGCGGUAAUACGUAGGGUGCAAGCGUUAAUCGGAAUUACUGGGCGUAAAGCGUGCGCAGGCGGUUUUGUAAGACAGAGGUGAAAUCCCCGGGCUCAACCUGGGAACUGCCUUUGUGACUGCAAGGCUUGAGUGCGGCAGAGGGGGGAAUGGAAUUCCGCGUGUAGCAGUGAAAUGCGUAGAUAUGCGGAGGAACACCGAUGGCGAAGGCAGCCCCCCUGGGUCAAGAUUGACGCUCAUGCACGAAAAGCGUGGGGAGCAAAACAGGAUUAGAUA
rnacentral:rRNA from 1 species